rnacentral:tRNA from 3 species
GGCCUGGUGGCGUAGUUGGUUAUCGCAUCUGUCUAACACACAGAAGGUCCCCUGUUCGAGCCAGGGUUAGGUCA